rnacentral:rRNA from 2 species
UACGUAGGGGGCGAGCGUUGUCCGGAAUCAUUGGGCGUAAAGCGCGUGUAGGCGGCUCGGUAAGUCUGGUGUGAAAUCCAGGGGCUCAACCCCUGGCGGUCACUGGAUACUGUCGGGCUAGAGUCCGGAAGAGGAGAGUGGAAUUCCUGGUGUAGCGGUGGAAUGCGCAGAUAUCAGGAGGAACACCAAUGGCGAAGGCAGCUCUCUGGUACGUGACUGACGCUGAGACGCGAAAGCGUGGGGAGCGAACAGG